AUUGAACGCUGGCGGAAUGCUUUACACAUGCAAGUCGAACGGCAGCACGGACUUCGGUCUGGUGGCGAGUGGCGAACGGGUGAGUAAUAUAUCGGAACGUGCCCAGUCGUGGGGGAUAACGUAGCGAAAGUUACGCUAAUACCGCAUACGAUCUAUGGAUGAAAGCGGGGGAUCGCAAGACCUCGCGCGAUUGGAGCGGCCGAUAUCAGAUUAGGUAGUUGGUGGGGUAAAGGCUCACCAAGCCAACGAUCUGUAGCUGGUCUGAGAGGACGACCAGCCACACUGGAACUGAGACACGGUCCAGAUUCCUACGGGAGGCAGCAGUGGGGAAUUUUGGACAAUGGGCGCAAGUCUGAUCCAGCCAUUCCGCGUGCAGGAUGAAGGCCCUCGGGUUGUAAACUGCUUUUGUACGGAACGAAAAGGUCUCCAUUAAUACUGGGGGCUCAUGACGGUACCGUAAGAAUAAGCACCGGCUAACUACGUGCCAGCAGCCGCCGUAA
rnacentral:rRNA from 1 species